AAUGAACGUUGGAGGCGUGGAUUAGGCAUGCAAGUCGAGCGAUAACCGUAGCAAUACGGGGACAGCGGCGCAAGGGAGAGGAAUACGCGGGUACCUACCUCCGGAUCUGGGCUAGCCACGGGAAACUGUGGGUAAUACCAGAUGAUGUCUUCGGACCAAAGGUGUGAUUCCGUCCGGGGAGGGGCCCACGUACUAUUAGCUAGUUGGUGGGGUAACGGCCUACCAAGGCAGUGAUGGGUUCGGGGCGUGAGAGCGUGCCCCCGCUCACUGGGACUGAGACACUGCCCAGACACCUACGGGUGGCUGCAGUCGAGGAUCUUCGGCAAUGGGCGCAAGCCUGACCGGGCGACGCCGCGUGCGGGAUGAAGGCCUUCGGGUUGUAAACCGCCGUCGGAGGGGAGGAAAUGCUAUGGGGUUCUCUUCAUAGUUUGACCUAUCCUCAGAGGAAGUACGGGCUAAGUUCGUGCCAGCAGCCGCGGUAAUAC
rnacentral:rRNA from 1 species